rnacentral:rRNA from 1 species
AGAGUUUGAUCCUGGCUCAGGAUGAACGCUGGCGGCGUGCUUAACACAUGCAAGUCGAACGGGAAUUACUUUAUUGAAACUUCGGUCGAUGUAAUUUAAUUCUAGUGGCGGACGGGUGAGUAACGCGUGGGUAACCUGCCUUAUACAGGGGGAUAACAGUCAGAAAUGGCUGCUAAUACCGCAUAAGCGCACAGAGCUGCAUGGCUCAGUGUGAAAAACUCCGGUGGUAUAAGAUGGACCCGCGUUGGAUUAGCUAGUUGGUGGGGUAACGGCCCACCAAGGCGACGAUCCAUAGCCGGCCUGAGAGGGUGAACGGCCACAUUGGGACUGAGACACGGCCCAGACUCCUACGGGAGGCAGCAGUGGGGAAUAUUGCACAAUGGGGGAAACCCUGAUGCAGCGACGCCGCGUGAAGGAAGAAGUAUCUCGGUAUGUAAACUUCUAUCAGCAGGGAAGAUAGUGACGGUACCUGACUAAGAAGCCCCGGCUAACUACGUGCCAGCAGCCGCGGUAAUACGUAGGGGGCAAGCGUUAUCCGGAUUUACUGGGUGUAAAGGGUGCGUAGGCGGCCGAGCAAGUCAGUUGUGAAAACUAUGGGCUUAACCCAUAACGUGCAAUUGAAACUGUCCGGCUUGAGUGAAGUAGAGGUAGGCGGAAUUCCCGGUGUAGCGGUGAAAUGCGUAGAGAUCGGGAGGAACACCAGUGGCGAAGGCGGCCUACUGGGCUUUAACUGACGCUGAGGCACGAAAGCAUGGGUAGCAAACCAGGAUUAGAUACCCUAGUAGUCCACGCCGUAAACGAUGA